AUCAACCGAACGUGGCACAACAAGAUACGAUAAAACCAGGCACAAACUCUCACAUCAAAGCUGGGCAAGGCAACCCAGUAGGAGGAAAAGGAUCCUGAGAGCAGACAGAAGAGUCAGAGACACCACCACUCCCACAAAACCACUAAGCUGCUGGGUGAAGCCUCUCUGAUGAAAACUGAACUAUGAACCAAUCUGAUUUCACCAUUUGUUGAAGAGGCCGUCUUUGUCCAGGGUGUUUCUGGCAUCUUUGUUGUAAUGGAGAUGUGACAGCUGUCUAGGGGAUUGAUGAAUUUGCUCCCUGACACGAACAAAGAAUUGAAUGACUAGGAAGACAGAAGACACAGCUUUAUCCUGUCAAGAUGGGAGAAGUCUAAAGCUGGAAGUCUAUUAAACAGAGGCUGACUUGGACACAGGACUUAGAGGAUUUGAGCUGAAGCUGACCUGAAAGCCUCUUCCCUGAGGACUAGCUUUCCCAGUAAUGGAAGGCGCUGUACAAGCUGCUGGAAGAGGGAAGCCGUCAACUGUCCUACUAGUCUGUGAGGCCUAUGACCAAAGCAUGAGCAGCAUUGAUAUGUGUAGCUCUCACCCCUCAUCAAAGACGCUUCCCUUUACAAAAGACAGAGACAAUCCAGAAAACCCCAGUGGUCACAGUGCAGAGAACAAGUGAUGGGUUGAAGUGUGCAUCUUGACUGUCUCUUGAGAGCAUGUUGGCAUCAGGAAAGGUAUGAGCAUCGGUCUCUGCAAGACUCGGAAUAUCUAACGGAGAUAGUGCCUACAGAAAGCAGGUAUGCUCUGCGCUGGCUGCUUACUGUUUCUGCCCUUUGUCUACAUGGAUCUCGUGAUGUGGACAUGGAGUCAUUGCGCUAGAGUGGGGUAUGUUCGUGUUUUUGAGGUGAGUAAGGACAUGUCUUCGGUCUAGUACAAAAUAGCCCAUUGAGCAGCACAUGACAGUGAAAAGGUUGAGGUCAGUGCUUACCUUUGUUGAGCUGUGCAUCCUUCCUCAUCCCAUGUGUGGAACCGGGGUCAGGUCACUAUGGGGGAGCAGCUGUCCAGAAAAUAGGGUUUGCUGAACUAAUUUUGGGCAGUUGAAAGUGCCACAUUAUUGCUGCAAUGAGUGGAGACAGCGGAGUGUGGCUUUCUGUCUGCUUUCAGCUCUCUCUUCCAGGUGAUUCUGCUUUUUUGUUGCAGUACCAGCAAGAAUGAAGAAGGAGGUAAUGUCUGGCCUUCCAGUGGGACAGAUUGGAAGCAAUAGAGAUACAGUAAUCUAAAACAUAUUAGAAGAUACUUUCUGAGAGCAAUCUUAGGUUAUUCUUAAAGAUACUCACUAGAAAAUUCAUUGGCAUACAUUUCUAUUUGACUUAUUUUGCUGCUGUAAUUAAGAAAAAUUUCUAACAACAGGUAUGCAGUGAUGUCAAACAGAAACCCCUUUUGAUAUUACCAAACGAAAGUCAAAAAAUGCUCCUCCUUCCCCUGGACUUCUUGAUUCCCUUUGGUGUGUUCCACCCUAGAGUAACAUGGCACCAAACAGACAGUUCCUUGGCAUCCAGGAAUUUUAUGUUCUAUUAUGUGUGUGUGUCUAUUUAUAGAUCUGUAUACAAUUGGUGGGAAUUUUAUACAUAGCUACAAUGAAAGAUAAUUAUGUGUGAUCCUCAGUUUCCUUCUCCAACUUCUGUCAUGUUCCCCCAGCCCCCAGCACGCCCCCUCUUAACUUCAUGUCUUCUUUUUUGUAACCCUCUCAGCCCAGUUAUUGCUCCCUAAAGGAAACCUAGCAGUAAAAACCCUCAAAAAGCAACGGUUCUCCUUCUCCCCGCAGCUGUUGGCUGUCAAUAGCGUUUCUUCUUUAAGGAGAGAAUCCAGAAGAGCACCCCUCUCUGGGUGUGGGCUGACUUGAUCUUCUGCAGGUACACACAGCUUAUGUCAGUUCAUGACUCUGGUCACCACGUCAUGUCCAGAAGACAGCAUGUUUUGCAGUGGCAGCAGUCAAUGAGGAGAUGCAAGAUCGGUCAGAGUGCUCAGAGGAAGACUGCUCUGUUUCAGA